rnacentral:rRNA from 1 species
CUGGUUGAUCCUGCCAGAGGCUACUGCUAUCGGGGUCCGACUAAGCCAUGCGAGUUGAGAGGGGUAAGCCCUCGGCAUAUUGCUCAGUAACACGCGGAUAACCUGCCCUUGGGUCCGGGAUAACCCCGGGAAACUGGGACUAAUACCGGAUAGAUCAAGGAUACUGGAAUGUUCUCUGGUCCAAAACUCCGGUGCCCAAGGACGGGUCUGCGGCCUAUCAGGUAGUAGUGGGUGUAACGUACCUACUAGCCUGCGACGGGUAAGGGUUGUGAGAGCAAGAGCCCUGAGAUGGAUUCUGAGACAUGAAUCCAGGUCCUACGGGGCGCAGCAGGCGCGAAAACUUCGCAAUGCCCGAAAGGGUGACGGGGGAAUUCCGAGUGCCAUUCAUUUAAUGGAUGGCUUUUAGCAAUUGUAAACAGAUUGCAGAAUAAGGGCUGGGUAAGGCUGGUGCCAGCCGCCGCGGUAACACCAGCGGCCCGAGUGGUGGUCGGAAUUAUUGGGCCUAAAGCGUCCGUAGCCGGACAUUCAAGUUCCCGGGUAAAUCCAGCGGCUUAACCGUUGGAAUUCCGGGGAUACUGUAUGUCUUGAGGUCGGGGGACGGUAUGGGUACUCCUGGUGUAGGGGUGAAAUCUUCUGAUCCCAGGGGGACCACCUGUGGUGAAAACGCAUACCGAAAACGAGCCUGACGGUGAGGGACGAAGCCUGAGGGAGCGAACGGGAUUAGAUACCCCGGUAGUCUCAGGUGUAAACAAUGUCCGUUUGGUGUUGCAUACGCUACGGGCGUGUGCAGUGCCGAAGCGAAGGCGUUAAACGGACCGCCUGGGGAGUAUGACCGCAAGGUUGAAACUUAAAGGAAUUGACGGGGGAGCACCACAAGGGGUGGAUGCUGCGGUUUAAUUGGAUUCAACGCCGGA